AGUGAACGCUGGCGGUAGGCCUAACACAUGCAAGUCGAACGGCAGCACAGUAAGAGCUUGCUCUUACGGGUGGCGAGUGGCGGACGGGUGAGGAAUACAUCGGAAUCUACUUUUUCGUGGGGGAUAACGUAGGGAAACUUACGCUAAUACCGCAUACGACCUACGGGUGAAAGCAGGGGAUCUUCGGACCUUGCGCGAAUGAAUGAGCCGAUGUCGGAUUAGCUAGUUGGCGGGGUAAAGGCCCACCAAGGCGACGAUCCGUAGCUGGUCUGAGAGGAUGAUCAGCCACACUGGAACUGAGACACGGUCCAGACUCCUACGGGAGGCAGCAGUGGGGAAUAUUGGACAAUGGGCGCAAGCCUGAUCCAGCCAUCCCGCGUGGGUGAAGAAGGCCUUCGGGUUGUAAAGCCCUUUUGUUGGGAAAGAAAAGCAGCAGGUUAAUACCCCGCUGUUCUGACGGUACCCAAAGAAUAAGCACCGGCUAACUUCGUG
rnacentral:rRNA from 1 species